CACUGCCACACUGAACAGAGCGAUCCCCUCGGCUCUCGGCACAGUCCGCCCAUUCCCCGCUUGGACCAGGGAUCUAGGCUGGGCACCCCACCCCCAACCCCGACCCGGCCGGGUCGAGCGCGCUGCUGUUUCCUCCAGCCUGCGGAGGCCCUCUGUGCGCCCGGACCGCGCUCCCUCCCUAGCCCCUAGGAUGUCAAAGACAAAAUCCUGGCUUUAGCCUGGGGACUAUACGGGUGCAGGUUUGAGGAGUGGACUGCGACUCUGCUUGGUUCACCCCUUUUCUACUCCACAUCCUCUUCUCCCUCAAGAAUUUUCGCGCGUCCUCUGACCCCGUAAACUUCGCGGCGAGCUUGCCUCGGUCUCCGACCGCGGGGCCGCGGGCUGAUGCUAGAUGGGAAGACUGAGAGGCCAAAAGGAGAUGAAACCUUCUCGGUCGUGGUGGCGAGACUGCGACUUUUUCAAACCAAAGGCUUUGCCGAUUUCCCAUAAAAUGCCCACCCUUCCUACUGGUGUCCAGCACUGGGAGGAGCCCCCCAGCAAUGCGAUCUGGUCCCCAGCACCGACACAAUCUGGCACACUCCCGGGACUCAGGAGCUACUUUGCUGGAAAAAGGAAAAGUGAAAAUCCCGUAUCAGAUUAGCCAGAGGGUCAAGUAGAGGUCUUCAGAGCCUAGGCAAGAUGGGAUAGGUGGACGGGGUGGCUUCGAUAUCCUACAGAAACCCUCACCCAACACCUUCUGAUUGUAUGACCUUGGCAAGUCUUCUCACCUCUGUGCCUGUUUCCUUUCUGCAUAAAGGAAUCUGAGAAGCCCCAGAGAUAGCAUCUGAGAAAGGCUUUGUAAAACAACAACAAAACAAAAACAAAAACCUGAGGGGCAUGCCCCGGUAACAAGAAAUGAAGAAAUUCAAAGAGGAAGAUGACAGAGAUCUGCUCUCACAAAGCCACUAGCUCUUCUAAUUCAAGGGAGAAGUUGCGCCUUAGCCCCUGAUAAGGUACAGCUAGACUGUGUGAUACUAGCCCAGGGAGAGAGGGCUGGGCUAGAGGCUGGUGGACCAGAACAAGGGUUGCCAAAAUAGACUCACACAUGUAUGGAAACCUGGUAUGCGGCAAGAGUGGUGCUACACGUCACUGGGAAAAGGGUGGGCUUUUCUAUAAAGGAUGUUUUUUAGAGUAACUGGAUAUCCACAUUGCGGAAAAAAGAUACGAAAUCCCUACCUCACACCUUCCAUUAAAAA